CCGCAGUGCAUUGCUGUUGUAUUGCAUGUCUGUGAAGCGGGUGCAGUUCCUCGGCAAUGCAGCCCGG
rnacentral:pre_miRNA from 10 species